CUACGGGUCGCUGCAGUGGGGAAUAUUGCACAAUGGGGGAAACCCUGAUGCAGCAACGCCGCGUGGAGGAUGACGCAUUUCGGUGUGUAAACUCCUUUUAUAUCCCAAGAUAAUGACGGUAGGAUAUGAAUAAGCACCGGCUAACUCCGUGCCAGCAGCCGCGGUAAUACGGAGGGUGCAAGCGUUACUCGGAAUCACUGGGCGUAAAGGGCGCGUAGGCGGGUUGUCAAGUCUUGAGUGAAAUCCAACGGCUCAACCGUUGAACUGCUUGAGAAACUGGCAGCCUAGAGUGAGGGAGAGGUAGAUGGAAUUGGUGGUGUAGGGGUAAAAUCCGUAGAGAUCACCAGGAAUACCCAUUGCGAAGGCGAUCUGCUGGAACUCUACUGACGCUGAGGCGCGAAAGCGUGGGGAGCAAACAGGAUUAGAUACCCCGGUAGUC
rnacentral:rRNA from 1 species